rnacentral:rRNA from 1 species
UACGUAGGCAGCAAGCGUUGUUCGGAGUUACUGGGCGUAAAGGGUGUGUAGGCGGUCUCGUAAGUCUGGUGUGAAAUCUCCCGGCUCAACUGGGAGGGUGCGCCGGAAACUGCGAGGCUAGAGUGUGGGAUGGGAGAGUGGAAUUCCUGGUGUAGCGGUGAAAUGCGUAGAUAUCAGGAGGAACACCUGCGGUGUAGACGGCUCUCUGGACCACUACUGACGCUGAAACACGAAAGCGUAGGGAGCGAACAGG